UCUUGAAGCAAAUGAAUUAGAGCAAGCACAUAUCUACAUACUGAAGAAUUGCGAUGAAGUUCUACCAUUUCUAGAAGAGUUUGCACAAAUUCAUGUAGAUUCUACUCAACACUUGUCUGAUGAUGAAUGGAAUAGACAAUUUAUUGAAUGGUUUCAAGAUAAGGUUUGAUAUGAAACCAUCCAAGGAUGAAAAUCAGGUGGCAUCUAGGGUGAAAGCUAC